rnacentral:rRNA from 1 species
UUGGAGGGCAAGUCUGGUGCCAGCAGCCGCGGUAAUUCCAGCUCCAAUAGCGUAUAUUAAAGUUGUUGCAGUUAAAAAGCUCGUAGUUGAAUUUCGGGAUCAAUGUUUCGGUCAUGCCGUUGGUAUGUACUGAUAUUAUUGGUUUCUCACCUUCUAAAGAACCGUAAUGCCAUUAAUUUGGUGUCACGGGGAAUUAGGACUGUUACCUUGAAAAAAUUAGAGUGUUUAAAGCAGGCUCACGCUUGAAUACAUUAGCAUGGAAUAAUGAAAUAGGACAUCCGAUUCUAUUUUGUUGGUUUCUAAGAUCGAUGUAAUGAUUAAUAGGGAUAGUUGGGGGCAUUAGUAUUCAAUUGUCAGAGGUGAAAUUCUUGGAUUUAUUGAAGGCUAACUACUGCGAAAGCAUUUGCCAAGGAUGUUUUCAUUAAUCAAGAACGAAAGUUAGGGGAUCGAAGACGAUCAGAUACCGUCGUAGUCUUAACCAUAAACUAUGCCGACUAGGGAUCGGAUGAUGUUAAUUUUUUAAUGACUCAUUCGGCGCCUUACGGGAAACCAAAGUGUUUGGGUUC